rnacentral:rRNA from 1 species
ACUCGAGUGGCGAACGGGUGAGUAACACGUGGGUGAUCUGCCCUGCACUUCGGGAUAAGCUUGGGAAACUGGGUCUAAUGCCGGAUAGGAGCCAUCUUUAGUGUGGUGGUUGGAAAGUUUUUCGGUGUAGGAUGAGCUCGCGGCCUAUCAGCUUGUUGGUGGGGUAGUGGCUUACCAAGGCUUUGACGGGUAGCCGGCCUGGGAGGGUGACCGGCCACAUUGGGACUGAGAUACGGCCCAG